rnacentral:misc_RNA from 1 species
AACGCACCUUGCGCUCCUUGGUAUUCCGAGGAGCAUGCCUGUUUGAGUGUCAUCGAAACCUCAGACCGACCCUUCGACCCCGUCGGAGCUCGGUCUGGACUUGUGGGAGUCUGCGGGCGAAGCGUGACUUCGUCGGCUCUCCUCAAAAGCAUUAGCCGUGGGUGGCGAGCCUGGCAUGGCACGGCCUCCUCGACGUCGUAAUGAUCGUCGUGGGCUGGAAGUGUACGGCUCGACGGACCCAUGCUUCGCAAGUCUUGCGAGCCCGUCCCUCGCGGACGGCCGCGCCCCAUCGAAGCUUGACCUCAAAUCAGGUAGGACUACCCGCUGAACUUAA